GCUGUUUCCUGUCUACAGUGUCUGUGUAAUGUAGAUAAAUGUGAGGAUUUUCUCUAAAUCCCUCUUCUGUUUGCUAAAUCUCACUGUCACUGCUAAAAUCAGAGCAGAUAGAGCCUGCGCAAUGGAAUAAAGUCCUCAAUAUUGAAAUGUGACAUUGCUCUCAACAUCUCACAUCUCUCUGGAUUUCUUUUUUCUCAUCAUUACUGCUAACAAAUUCAUUUCCAGACUUUGCACUUUCAAGAAGCAAUGGAAAAAAUCAACAGUCUUUCAACACAAUUAGUUAAGUGCUGCUUGUGUGAUUUCUUGAAGGUGAAGAUGCACACUGUGUCCUACAUCCAUUUCUUCUACCUUGGCCUGUGUUUGCUUACCUUAACCAGUUCUGUUGCUGCUGGCCCAGAAACACUCUGUGGUGCUGAGCUGGUUGAUGCUCUUCAGUUUGUGUGUGGAGACAGAGGCUUUUACUUCAGCAAGCCCACGGGGUAUGGAUCCAGCAGUAGACGCUUGCACCACAAGGGAAUAGUGGAUGAAUGCUGCUUCCAGAGCUGUGACCUGAGGAGGCUGGAGAUGUAUUGUGCUCCAAUAAAACCGCCCAAAUCCGCGCGGUCCGUACGCGCCCAGCGCCACACCGACAUGCCCAAAGCACAAAAGGAAGUGCAUUUGAAGAACACAAGUAGAGGGAACACAGGAAACAGAAACUACAGAAUGUAAGAACAUGCCAUCCACAAGAAUGAAGAAUGAAUGUGCCAUCUGCAGGAUACUUUGCUGAUACUGGUCAGUGGAAAUUAGUCUUCCAAACACCCAACUUCUACUGAAAACCAACAUUUUUCCUCCGUCCUGCUCCACCCAGCAAACUUAGUUAAAAGACUGUUGCAACAUAAUUUUAUUGUUUGUCUGUUUGUUUGGGAGGGUUGUUUUGCUUUUAUUCACUUUGUUUUGAUUCUGGGGGCAAGGGAUAAGGAGGAGGAGAUGAGUGAUAUUUUUUUCUCAUGGGUACAAUCCGCAUAAAAUAAAGAAUUUUUCUUAAUGAGAUUACUAAUUAUCCAAUUAAUGUGUGGAAGUGACAUUCAGUAAAGCAACUAGAUUAAAUUUGUCUUGAAAGAAGGAAAGAAAGAUUUCAACACAGAGUUGUUACCCAUUCUAAUCCUACACUAAACAUGUUGCUUCUGACAGCAUUGGAAUAUUCUCCUGGACUAUAAACACCCAAACACACAGUAUCUGAUAUAUAAAAAUCUUCAUUUUGUAAAAAAAAAAAAAAAAAAAAAAAAGUCAAAGCGUGUUAUGGGAAUGUCAGAAAUUUGAUUUCACAUCAUAGAGUAUAGAGAUGCCAUUCUGGCAGGGGCCAAAAUAGGAAGGACCUCCCUGAUGGUUACAUUAGGAAAUCUUACCCUAGGCUGCAUAAAGGGCGUGGCUGUGUAUAUAUACACAUCUACAGACACAUGUACACAUAUAUGGGUAUAGACAGUGCUACAGUGUGUGCAUGUCUAUGUGCAUGUGUAUAUUAUGCUUUUCUUUUUCCUGUCAAGUAAAGUUUGAAAUGCUUGCUUUUUUCUCUUCAGAUCUUAUGGAUUAUGCUCAGUAAUCCAACUGGAAUCUAAUUUUAGAAGAACAUUGUGUAAUAUGGAUGUCACAAUUUAGGUCUGGUCAUUAUUUUUCAUACCUAAAGAAAUGACCAGAUAUUUAAACCAUAAGACACCUCUUCAUUGUCAUCAGGCAAAUAUAUUUAUCAGAUAUAAAAUACUAACUUUGAGGGCCAUAUUAUAAAAACCUGUAUUAAAAUUUUAUCUUCUAUUUCAUUUUUCUCCAUAAAACUUCUGUUAAGUGUCAUUUUUUAAAGUGUAAACAUCUCUUCAAAGUAAGAAUAAUAGGUAAUAUAAACAGAGCAGAAUGAUAAUUUCUGUCAUCACCUCAACUAUUAAUUUGUCAUUUAUAUGUUUUUUGUAGAAUAAUUCAUCCCCCUCUACAGCACUCUUAACUAUAUCAGAAGUGGAAAAGGCUUAGCAAAUUCCUAUACCCAAAAUUAUUUAUACUAAUUUUUGAUUUCUCUGUGUUGUUCAGUAACUUUUUAUUUUGCCAUCUUGGCACACAAGUCAUAAAAAGCACCAAUGUGAUACUUCUGCUGCUAAACAUCCUUUGGUACAAGUAUUAAACAUACACCCACCUAAAAUAUCUACAUAUUCACACAUUAUUGAAGUUCUUAAGAAACAAGGACAAAUACAGUUGAGAGAUAAUUUUUCACACCAUUUUUUAACUAAAUCAAAGGUGCUGCAUUUUAUUGUAUUUUUCAUUCAUUAGUAUAAUUUCAUUCCUCUGAAGCAGCAAUAAAAUACCUGCAGAACAAAAAGGACUCUAACUUGACCAAUUGGAAUGCUUCACAUACUCAUGUUAAAGAAAAAGGUUUAUCCAGAUAACUAUAUAAACAACUGAUUAAAUUAAACUCUUAUUUUGUAGUGAAAUAUUUAACUUUGUAAAUUUAAAACUCAAAUUAACUUUCCACUCUUUCUGGUUUACUGGCAUUAACCUGACUUAUGGUGUGAAAAAAUUCUAAUUUCAACAAUGAUCGAAGACAAAGGAUCCGAAACCAACAGACUAAAGUGUUAUCAAUUAAGAGGUAAAACAUCCUUACUUUGCGCACAGCAAUGAAUUAUAUCCCUUUUUUUUUACACUAGAAUUUCAAAUGCAAUUGAUAUAAAUACUGAAUAAGAAUCAUGGUUCUCUCCAUUAUUUCCCCUUAGAGACAAGUUUGAAUAUAAUACAACAUAUGCAAGUGAGUGCAUGAUACAAUGUAUAACUCCUAUCUUUUCAUUUAUUACCAUUUCUAAGGAAUUAGUCCAACAGAAUUCUAUAGAAAUCCUGAACAAGUUGAAAAAAAAUAAUUCUCAAAAGUGUAUAAUGAUAAUAGUUGCCUGGUUAAACUAAGUCUCAUCAGACAUGAGUCAUAAAAUGCUCCACUGAAAGCAGAUUGGUACUUUAUUAUAUUCUGAACAGCUUCACCUGUAGUCUGACACCUCUCAUUGCUUUUGUCAGAAUGUGAUGGUUGUUUCACAGUUUCUUAAUCCUUGGAGUCUUAGGUUUGAAUAUUAAACAUGUUUAUCAAGACUAAGAAUGUCAGGAAACAAAAUGAAAGUAGAAGCAGCACCACCUGCUGCUGAUAAUCAAAUCAUGUAUAAGCUUUCUUUUCUCCCAAAUUAUUGUGAAGCCACCCAGAAUGCUAAACAAAGAGAUUAGUAGCACUUGCUUUUCAGGGCAGCCUUUCCAUAGAGUAACUGUCCUCUUUUCUUCAGUGUUGGACCUCAAUUGUAUCCUGACUAAAACUGGGGUUUCCAUAAUGCAAAGCAUGAAUGUGGAUACAUGAGUUUCUGAUUUCACUACUGAAUAAUCCUACUAUUAACAUUUCAAGUCAUUAUAACCAAACAGUGACAAGUGUUAAGUGUUCAUUUACUAGAAACCAUUUAAAUAUCUAUUAAAGUUCUAACUGGAUUUAUUCUUUCUUUUUUAUUUUCUCGUGCUUACUCAUAAUACAAUGUCACUACUUGAUGACAAAUAAUAUUUCAUACUGUGUAUGUAACAUCAUUGUGUUGCAGAAUCCCCCAAAUACCUCAACAAUGUCUUUGUUGCGCUAUUCUCCCCAUCUAGCACUUAUAAGCUUUUCUAGUAACAACCAAUAAAUCAAAAAAUGGAGCUCUUGAUAUGUACAAAUAAUACAAAAAAUCAAGACGUUUUGCUAGUUUGCAGUUCAUGUAAUGCCAUCUUGACCAUUCUCUUCCCCUCUCUCUAUGAGCUGUCUAGAACAGUAAACUUUGCUCCAUAAAUAAUAGUGUAUUCAUGCUUUUAAAGGCUUUUAUAUGCAUUUAUGGUAGGUAAAGGUUGGAAGAGGUAGUUGACUGAUUUUCACUUUUAUCUACUUUGAUUUCAGUAAAGGGCUUUGUCACUCUGUAUACAUAAAGGCUAAUGCACCCUUUGGUUUGUAGAAUGUACUGAAAUGUUUGCAACCCUCUUGGUAUCAGGUCCAAAAUGUGAAGCAUUACUGUUAAGAGGGUACCUUUCUAAUGUAUUUGUAUGUAUAGUUUACACCUCUGUGAGGUCUAAUAAAGGAUUAUGGUUAAUAAAAAA